GGCCUGUGGCAGCCACAUUCUGUGCUAUGUGAUUUCUGCACCCUUUGCGCCAACCACCCUUCAUACCUCCGCUAGGGCUGGGAUCUCCUGUGCAGCAGCCAAGCCAAGGUUGCCAAAUUGCUUUUUGAUCAGGACUCUUCAGGGGAGCGGACUCCCUCCUUCGGUCGAUGCAGACAUUCCUUUCCUGCAUUUUGCAGUCAUCUAUGCAGAGACUCAUGGAAAGCGUGAUUGAAUACACACUUCUAAUUCCCUGAUUUGAAUCAUCCAUGUAGAUAUGGAAACUAUGUUUAUUUAAAGACCAGGACGGCCGGUUGCAUUAAGAAUGUUUGUGGCAGGAGUACUUUUCUGAGUCACAGAGGGACACCGCACAGUGAAGAUGAACUUCAUCAUAAUCUCCAAUGAACUUAAAGACGGUGACGUGGAAGCGACAGGUUAGGGAGACACCGUUCUCCUCGAUGCCAAUGGUAUUAUCUUUAAUGUUCUGACACCUAUUCAGAAAAAAUGGAAUCUUUGCUUCACAUUUUCAUAUUUCAUAUAAAAUCAUCAUAAACGGUAAAGAUACCUUUGCAUUUGAAAGUGACCUCUCGACUGUGUGGGUUUGUCAUUAUUACCACUCCCUUAUAUUUUCAUAGUUUGUUUUAAAAGCAUCAAAUAGCACAAGUUAGUAUCCUAACUGCAACUAAAAACAAAACGACCGGAGAGACUGCGCUCGAUUUCCCAGCGCUUCAGUUUCUCAUUCCGCCUCCUCAUUAUGCUGUGUUUUACUGACAUCCAUUUAACAAACACAAGAUUAGUCCUUAAUUCUUCUGUACUUUCUUCAGUUAAUUAUCAGCUUUGGGAGGGGCCCCUGUUUCAAACCCUCUUGGGAAGUGUUCCCACAUGUGAAAGUAGGUGGAGCUGGAGGAGAAGGAAGAGCAGUCAAGAAGAGCUCGAGUCGUUUUGAUGUAGGAGACUGCCGAGUCGCCCCCCUCCCUCUCCUCCUCGGGUACUGAGCCAGCAGGCGACCACAGCCUUGGCCCUCCCUCGGGCACAGAUGCCUGACCUCUGCUGCUUAGAGUUCCCCAACGCAUCACAGUCUCCUAGGCCCCAGGGUCUUCUCACGUAACGUUUCCCGAGUGGAAGUCUUUCGGCUCCUCUUCCCAUGCGUAACCCCUGCUCUUUCUCCAGCACCAGCCUAUGGCUCCCCCUCCUUUAUAAAUAUCCCCCAGUGUUGCCCCAACCAGGGAGGAACAAGUGGCUUUUCCUGGACUUCCCAACAGCAUCCAUAGAGCCCUUGGCGAGAAGGAAUCAAGUCGGAAUCCUCAUCGUGUCUCCAACGCACUGCAGGGCACGUAACCCAGCCAGGGACCCUAAGAGCAUCGAGGAGAACUGUGCCCUCCCCUGACACCAGGCAAUUUAAUGCUGCAUCCUCUUCAAACAAAGAAGAGGCAGGUGAUCCAAGAAAGGCUAGAUAUAUUCCUCCCCAGGGAUUCCCUGAACUGGGGUUAGAAGGAAUGCUCGCUCCUUAGGCAUUACAAUGCUUAAGAAUGCGAAUCCAGGAUUGCCAGUAUCUAACGAGAUCAAUGAGAGAGAGAGAGAGAGAGAGAUGAGGGAGAGAGGGAGGGAGAGAGAGUCUUGACAGCAUUUGGCUGCCUGGAUCCGAUCAUCCCUGAAGCCACUUCCACUCUUACGAUUUGGUUUUGUAACUGUUAAAUGCCUUGUAUUUGCAUAAGCUAGUUUGAAUUGGUCUCUACCACUUCUAAUAGGAAGAAUUUUGGUUACUAUAGUCAUCUGCUUUGAGAAUUAUCAUAUUGGGGUGAUGAAAAUGUUCCAAAAUUAGAUUAUGUUGAUGGUUGCACUCCUCUUGUAAAUUCACUAAAAAUCAUUGAAUUUUACACUUAAAGCAAGUACAUCUUAUUAUUA